rnacentral:rRNA from 1 species
UACGGGGGGGGGCAAGCGUUGUUCGGAAUUACUGGGCGUAAAGGGCUCGUAGGCGGCCAACUAAGUCAUACGUGAAAUCCCUCGGCUUAACCGGGGAACUGCGUCUGAUACUGGAUGGCUUGAGUUCGGGAGAGGGAUGCGGAAUUCCAGGUGUAGCGGUGAAAUGCGUAGAUAUCUGGAGGAACACCGGUGGCGAAGGCGGCAUCCUGGACCGAUACUGACGCUGAGGCACGAAAGCGUGGGGAGCAAACAGG